rnacentral:tRNA from 1 species
ACUUGUAUAGUAUAAAAAUUAUUUUUGACUUCCAAUCAAAAGAUCUAUUUAAUAGUCCAAGUA